UACGGAGGAUGCGGGCGUUAUCCGGAUUUAUUGGGUUUAAAGGGUGCGCAGGCGGCGUGUCAAGCAAGCGGUAAAAUAGCGGGGCUCAACCCCGUCGAGCCGUUUGAACUGGCGCGCUUGAGUUCAGGCGAGGUAGGCGGAAUUCGUGGUGUAGCGGUGAAAUGCAUAGAUAUCACGAAGAACUCCGAUUGCGAAGGCAGCUUACCAGUCUGCGACUGACGCUCAGGCACGAAAGUGUGGGUAUCGAACAGG
rnacentral:rRNA from 1 species